rnacentral:rRNA from 1 species
UACGAAGGGGGCUAGCGUUGUUCGGAAUUACUGGGCGUAAAGCGCGUGUAGGCGGGUCUUUAAGUCAGGGGUGAAAUGCCAAGGCUCAACCUUGGAACUGCCUUUGAUACUGGAGACCUUGAGUCCGGGAGAGGUGAGUGGAAUUGCGAGUGUAGAGGUGAAAUUCGUAGAUAUUCGCAAGAACACCAGUGGCGAAGGCGGCUCACUGGCCCGGAACUGACGCUGAGAUGCGAAAGCGUGGGGAGCAAACAGGG